ACUGUGCAAAGGUAGCAUAAUCANUAGUCUCUUAAUUAGAGGCUGGUAUGAAUGGUUGGACGAGGUACUUGCUGUUUCAUUUUAAUAUAUAGAAUUUUAUUUUUAAGUUAAAAAGCUUAAAUUAGUUUAAAAGACGAGAAGACCCUAUAGAUCUUUAUAAUUAUUUUAUUAUAGUUGUUAAGAAUACUAAAAUUAUUAUAAAUUAUAUUAUUUUGUUGGGGUGACAUUAAAAUUUAUUUAACUUUUAAUAUUUUUUUACUUUUAUUUAUGAAUUUAUUGAUCCUUUAUUAUAGAUUAAAAAAUUAAGUUACCUUAGGGAUAACAGCGUAAUUUUUUUGGAGAGUUCAUAUCGAUGNNNNNNNNUGCGACCUCGAUGUUGGAUUAA
rnacentral:rRNA from 1 species